GUUCUAUUUUUAGCCAUGGUGGCCAUCUUGGUUAGUUGGCCGGGUCACCGGACACAUUUUCUAAACUAGAUACCCCAAUGAUGAUUGUGGCCAAGUUUGGUUUAAUUUGGCCCAGUAGUUUCAGAGGAGAAGAUUUUUGUAAAAGUUAACGACACAGGACGCCGGACGACAAGUGAUGGGAAAAGCUCACUUGGCCCUUUGGGCCAGGUGAGCUAAAAAU
rnacentral:lncRNA from 1 species